rnacentral:rRNA from 1 species
AGGUCUCGUGUGUUCAUGCUAUCUGCAGUCGUACUAGCUUCCGUUAAUUGAUUAUGACGUACUUGUACUGAUUGAGAUUUUAACACGAAGUGAGUGGCGAACGGGUGAGUAACACGUGGGUAACCUGCCCAGAAGUAGGGGAUAACACCUGGAAACAGAUGCUAAUACCGUAUAACAGAGAAAACCGCAUGGUUUUCUUUUAAAAGAUGGCUCUGCUAUCACUUCUGGAUGGACCCGCGGCGUAUUAGCUAGUUGGUGAGGUAAAGGCUCACCAAGGCAGUGAUACGUAGCCGACCUGAGAGGGUAAUCGGCCACAUUGGGACUGAGACACGGCCCAGACUCCUACGGGAGGCAGCAGUAGGGAAUCUUCCACAAUGGACGCAAGUCUGAUGGAGCAACGCCGCGUGAGUGAAGAAGGGUUUCGGCUCGUAAAGCUCUGUUGUUAAAGAAGAACGUGGGUAAGAGUAACUGUUUACCCAGUGACGGUAUUUAACCAGAAAGCCACGGCUAACUACGUGCCAGCAGCCGCGGUAAUACGUAGGUGGCAAGCGUUAUCCGGAUUUAUUGGGCGUAAAGCGAGCGCAGGCGGUCUUUUAAGUCUAAUGUGAAAGCCUUCGGCUCAACCGAAGAAGUGCAUUGGAAACUGGGAGACUUGAGUGCAGAAGAGGACAGUGGAACUCCAUGUGUAGCGGUGAAAUGCGUAGAUAUAUGGAAGAACACCAGUGGCGAAGGCGGCUGUCUGGUCUGCAACUGACGCUGAGGCUCGAAAGCAUGGGUAGCGAACAGGAUUAGAUACCCUGGUAGUCCAUGCCGUAAACGAUGAUUACUAAGUGUUGGAGGGUUUCCGCCCUUCAGUGCUGCAGCUAACGCAUUAAGUAAUCCGCCUGGGGAGUACGACCGCAAGGUUGAAACUCAAAAGAAUUGACGGGGGCCCGCACAAGCGGUGGAGCAUGUGGUUUAAUUCGAAGCUACGCGAAGAACCUUACCAGGUCUUGACAUCUUCUGACAGUCUAAGAGAUUAGAGGUUCCCUUCGGGGACAGAAUGACAGGUGGUGCAUGGUUGUCGUCAGCUCGUGUCGUGAGAUGUUGGGUUAAGUCCCGCAACGAGCGCAACCCUUAUUACUAGUUGCCAGCAUUAAGUUGGGCACUCUAGUGAGACUGCCGGUGACAAACCGGAGGAAGGUGGGGACGACGUCAAAUCAUCAUGCCCCUUAUGACCUGGGCUACACACGUGCUACAAUGGAUGGUACAACGAGUCGCGAAACCGCGAGGUUAAGCUAAUCUCUUAAAACCAUUCUCAGUUCGGACUGUAGGCUGCAACUCGCCUACACGAAGUCGGAAUCGCUAGUAAUCGCGGAUCAGCAUGCCGCGGUGAAUACGUUCCCGGGCCUUGUACACACCGCCCGUCACACCAUGAGAGUGGGGUUCCCGUUGUUGACGACCUUACAGGAUGUGCAUGAUGCACCAGUGGCACUAGUCCUACCGCUC